rnacentral:tRNA from 1 species
UGGGAUAUAGCCAAGUGGUAAGGCAACAUGCUGUUAACAUGUCUAUUUCGUAGGUUCGAAUCCUACUAUCCCAG